CCUACGGGAGGCAGCAGUGGGGAAUAUUGGACAAUGGGGGGAACCCUGAUCCAGCCAUGCCGCGUGUGUGAAGAAGGCCCUCGGGUUGUAAAGCACUUUCAGUGAGGAAGGACGCCUGGUGGUUAAUACCCAUCAGGAAAGACAUCACUCACAGAAGAAGCACCGGCUAACUCCGUGCCAGCAGCCGCGGUAAUACGGAGGGUGCGAGCGUUAAUCGGAAUUACUGGGCGUAAAGCGCGCGUAGGUGGCUUGAUAAGCCGGUUGUGAAAGCCCCGGGCUCAACCUGGGAACGGCAUCCGGAACUGUCAAGCUAGAGGGCAGGAGAGGAAGGUAGAAUUCCCGGUGUAGCGGUGAAAUGCGUAGAGAUCGGGAGGAAUACCAGUGGCGAAGGCGGCCUUCUGGACUGACACUGACACUGAGGUGCGAAAGCGUGGGUAGCAAACAGGAUUAGAUACCCCUGUAGUC
rnacentral:rRNA from 1 species